rnacentral:rRNA from 1 species
GAUGAACGCUGGCGGCGUGCCUAAUACAUGCAAGUCGAGCGAACAGACGAUGAGCUUGCUCCUCUGACGUUAGCGGCGGACGGGUGAGUAACGCGUGGAUAACCUACCUAUAAGACUGGGAUAACUUCGGGAAACCGGCGCUAAUACCGGAGAAUAUAUUGAACCGCAUGGUUCAAUAGUGAAAGACGGUUUUGCUGUCACUUAUAGAUGGAUCCGCGCCGGAUUAGGUAGUUGGUAAGGUAACGGCUUAUCACGGCAACGAUGCGUAGCCGAACUGAGAGGGUGAUCGGCCACACGGGAACUGAGACACGGUCCAGGCUCCUACGGGAGGCAGCAGUAGGGAAUCUUCCGCAGUGGGCGGGAACCUGACGGAGCGGCGCCGCGUGAGUGAUGAAGGUCUUCGGUGCGUGAAACUCUGUUAUUGGGGAAAAACAGAUGUGUAAGUAAAUAUGCACGUCUUGACGGUACCUAAUCAGAAAGCCACGGCUAACUACGUG